GAACGUACGCUGGCGGCACGCCUAACACAUGCAAGUCGAACGAAGUAGCAAUACUUAGUGGCAGACGGGUGAGUAACAUGUAGGUAUCUGCCCUUUGGCCUGGAAUAACACGAGGAAACUUGUGCUAAUACCGGAUAAGUCUUUACGGAGAAAGCUUUAUGCACCAUUGGAUGAGCCUGCACUUGAUUAGUUUGUUGGUGGGGUAAUGGCCUACCAAGACUGUGAUCAAUAGCUGAUUUGAGAGGAUGAUCAGCCACAUUGGGACUGAGACACGGCCCAAACUCCUACGGGAGGCAGCAGUGGGGAAUCUUGCACAAUGGAGGAAACUCUGAUGCAGCGAUGCCGCGUGAGUGAAGAAGGCCUUUGGGUUGUAAAGCUCUUUCGUCGGGGAAGAAAAUGACUGUACCCGAAUAAGAAGGUCCGGCUAACUUCGUGCCAGCAGCCGCGGUAAUACGAAGGGACCUAGCGUAGUUCGGAAUUACUGGGCUUAAAGAGUUCGUAGGUGGUUGAAAAAGUUAGUGGUGAAAUCCCAGAGCUUAACUCUGGAACUGCCAUUAAAACUUUUCAGCUAGAGUAUGAUAGAGGAAAGCAGAAUUUCUAGUGUAGAGGUGAAAUUCGUAGAUAUUAGAAAGAAUACCAAUUGCGAAAGGCAGCUUUCUGGAUCAUUACUGACACUGAGGAACGAAAGCAUGGGUAGCGAAGAGGAUUAGAUACCCUCGUAGUCCAUGCCGUAAACGAUGUGUGUUAGACGUUGGAAAUUUAUUUUCAGUGUCGCAGCGAAAGCGAUAAACACACCGCCUGGGGAGUACGACCGCAAGGUUAAAACUCAAAUGAAUUGACGGGGACCCGCACAAGUAGUGGAGCAUGUGGUUUAAUUCGAAGAUACGCGCAGAACCUUACCAACACUUGACAUGUUCGUCGCGACUCUAAGAGAUUAGAGUUUUCGGUUCGGCCGGACGAAACACAGGUGCUGCAUGGCUGUCGUCAGCUCGUGUCGUGAGAUGUUGGGUUAAGUCCCGCAACGAGCGCAACCCUCACUUUUAGUUGCCAUCAUUAAGUUGGGCACUCUGAAAGAACUGCCAGUGAUAAGCUGGAGGAAGGUGGGGAUGACGUCAAGUCCUCAUGGCCCUUACGUGUUGGGCUACACACGUGCUACAAUGGUAUUUACAACAGGAAGCAAGACUGCGAAGUUAAGCAAAUCCCUAAAAGAUACCUCAGUUCGGAUUGCACUCUGCAACUCGAGUGCAUGAAGCUGGAAUUACUAGUAAUCGUGGAUCAGCGUGCCACGGUGAAUGCGUUCCCGGGUCUUGUACACACCGCC
rnacentral:rRNA from 1 species